GACAGAGGGUGCUAGCGUUGUUCGGAUUUACUGGGCGUAAAGGGCGCGUAGGCGGCACCGCAAGUCGACUGUGAAAUCUCCGGGCUUAACUCGGAAAGGUCAGCCGAUACUGCGGGGCUAGAGUGCAGAAGGGGCAACUGGAAUUCUCGGUGUAGCGGUGAAAUGCGUAGAUAUCGAGAGGAACACCUGCGGCGAAGGCGGGUUGCUGGGCUGACACUGACGCUGAUGCGCGAAAGCUAGGGGAGCGAACGGG
rnacentral:rRNA from 1 species